CGGACGGGUGAGUAACGCGUGAGAAUCUGGCUUCAGGUCUGGGACAACCACUGGAAACGGUGGCUAAUACCGGAUGUGCCGAGAGGUGAAAGGUUAACUGCCUGAAGAUGAGCUCGCGUCUGAUUAGCUAGUUGGAAGUGUAAUGGACUCCCAAGGCGACGAUCAGUAGCUGGUCUGAGAGGACGAUCAGCCACACUGGGACUGAGACACGGCCCAGACUCCUACGGGAGGCAGCAGUGGGGAAUUUUCCGCAAUGGGCGAAAGCCUGACGGAGCAAUACCGCGUGAGGGAGGAAGGCUCUUGGGUCGUAAACCUCUUUUCUCAGGGAAGAACAAAAUGACGGUACCUGAGGAAUAAGCAUCGGCUAACUCCGUGCCAGCAGCCGCGGUAAUACGGAGGAUGCAAGCGUUAUCCGGAAUGAUUGGGCGUAAAGCGUCCGCAGGUGGCUAUGUAAGUCCGCUGUUAAAGAGUCUAGCUCAACUAGAUAAGAGCAGUGGAAACUACAAGGCUAGAGUACGUUCGGGGCAGAGGGAAUUCCUGGUGUAGCGGUGAAAUGCGUAGAGAUCAGGAAGAACACCGGUGGCGAAGGCGCUCUGCUAGGCCGUAACUGACACUGAGGGACGAAAGCUAGGGGAGCGAAUGGGAUUAGAUACCCCAGUAGUC
rnacentral:rRNA from 1 species